rnacentral:rRNA from 1 species
UACGUAGGUGGCAAGCGUUGUCCGGAUUUAUUGGGCUUAAAGGGUGCGUAGGCGGCUGUUUAAGUCAGUGGUGAAAGCCGAUGGCUUAACGAUCGAACUGCCAUUGAUACUGAAUAGCUUGAGUACAGAUGAGGUAGGCGGAAUUGACAGUGUAGCGGUGAAAUGCAUAGAUAUUGUCAAGAACACCGAUUGCGAAGGCAGCUUACUAAAGUGUCACUGACGCUGAGGCACGAAAGUGCGGGGAUCAAACAGG